GCACAGAGAUUUUGUGGGUAAGAAAGACCGCUGCACAAAUGAUUUGCUGGGAGAUGAACAUAGCGUCCAUGCGAAUGCCUUUCUACUCCUUGAAAGUGCUUGAAAAUAUCCAGCAUCCCACUAUCUUAGGGUCAGAGGAAUGGACUUGACCUUGAUUGGCAUCUAUGCCGUUAUUAACACUUCCAUCACAUGGUUUGCUCCAAGCAGGGUUUCCAUUGUCAUUUUGCCCAAAAUGACUACUACUUUCUAAGCCUCAGGAAUCAUCUCUCUUCUAUUCGGAUGAAGCAUCAUGGUAUAAAAAUUGGGUUGUAGGACAAUGAACCAAAUUAUGAAAGUUUGUUACUGCAGUACAAUGACCAUGAAUUUAUGUAGGACCUAAAUGACUACUAUGUAUUAUUAUUCAUUUCUCAUGUGGAGCUGAUUAUGGCAUUGGACCAUAUUAUUGUAAUGGUUGGAUUAGUAAAUGAAAAUACUAUUAGGUAUACUAAAUAUGUAUUGUAUAUAUUUUACAAUUGGUAUACAUUUACAAUUAGUAUUGGCUUGUUGAGUAGUAAUACAAGGAUCAAUAUUGUU